rnacentral:rRNA from 1 species
GAUGAACGCUGGCGGCGUGCCUAAUACAUGCAAGUCGAGCGAACAGAUGAGGAGCUUGCUCCUCUGACGUUAGCGGCGGACGGGUGAGUAACACGUGGAUAACCUACCUAUAAGACUGGGAUAACUUCGGGAAACCGGAGCUAAUACCGGAUAAUAUAUUGAACCGCAUGGUUCAAUAGUGAAAGACGGUUUUGCUGUCACUUAUAGAUGGAUCCGCGCCGCAUUAGCUAGUUGGUAAGGUAACGGCUUACCAAGGCAACGAUGCGUAGCCGACCUGAGAGGGUGAUCGGCCACACUGGAACUGAGCCGCGGUCCAGACUCCUACGGGAGGCCGCAGUAGGGAAUCUUCCGCAAUGGGCGAAAGCCUGACGGAGCAACGCCGCGUGAAUGAUGAAGGUCUUCGGAUCGUAAAACUCUGUUAUUGGGGAAGAACAAAUGUGUAAGUAACUAUGCACGUCUUGACGGUACCUAAUCAGAAAGCCACGGCUAACUACGUG